AAUAUUUGACAAUGGGGGCAACCCUGAUCCAGCCGUGCCGCGUGUGUGAAGAAGGUCUUCGGAUUGUAAAGCACUCUAAGUUGGGAGGAAGGGCAUUAGGUUAAUACCCUGAAGUUUGGACGUCACCAACAGAAUAAGCACCGGCUAACUCUGCGCCAGCAGCCGCGGUAAUACAGAGGGUGCAAGCGUUAAUCGGAAUUACUGGGCGUAAAGCGCGCGUAGGUGGUUCAGUAAGAUGGGUGUGAAAUCCCCGGGCUUAACCUGGGAACUGCUUUCAUAACUGCUGAGCUAGAGUACGGUAGAGGGUAGUGGAAUCUCCUGUGUAGCGGUGAAAUGCGUAGAUAUAGGAAGGAACACCAGUGGCGAAGGCGACUACCUGGACUGAUACUGACACUGAGGUGCGAAAGCGUGGGGAGCAAACA
rnacentral:rRNA from 1 species